CUCGAGUGAGCAAUGAUUACUGUUGCUGGGACAACCCGCCAUGGAUAUGAAACGUAUUUACUAAUAUCGAUAGUUCUAUCAUUGGCAGUACCUUCUUCUGCGGAGAAUACAAGCAAAUUUCUCGAAAAAAGGGGCAAACAGGUCAAUCAUUUCUCCUUUUACCUUGAGACUAACAUUAAGACAUCCAUCGCGUCAUGAAGCUGCUGCUCGUUCUUACGUUCUUGUUGUCCUCUCUGAUCGCCGGAACCAUGGCAACUGUCAGUUGCUACGAUUGCAGCGGUUCCGAAUGUGGAGAUCCUUUCAACCCGCUUCUCCCAGGAGUAUCAGUUACUACUUGUCCAACCUACUGUGUUGUAAG